ACCACAUAAAUACCAUCGGAAGUCGGGACGAUGGAAAGCACACUUCAGCACAGAGCCGAGGCAUAUCCACCGAUCACUCCUCAGUGAUUGAUCAGUAGCGUGUCCUGUGGUUGUACUCCAGUACUACUACUUCUCGAUCGAGUGCUCAGCUUAAUUAAUUAAAGAGCGCCGCAGGAAUGAUGCGAUUAUUCACGACGGCGCCGUCCGCCCGCGUCGCGGUGCUUCGCGCAGCCGUCGCAGUCGUCCCGAUGUAUGGUGGGUCUCGUAAACUCUACUCUCGUACAUCGACAAAGCAAAGGCGCCGCGGAUCCGGAGAAAGUAGCACAUCUGGACUCGACGGUGCAUGUCGUUAACAAUCCAACACCACGACACGGCCACAAGACCGGUGCCGACAAGGCCGCGGAGGCUGCAGAUCCAAAGAGCAUGAAGAAGCAAGCCACCUCUGGGCAGCAGCGGGACGAAAUGUAAGACGUCCGUCCACUACAAGGUUGUGUGGACAGGAGCCUACAUGUUCUCGGCUUCUCCCAUGGUGUCUACCGUUCUACGUUUUGCUCGAAAAAUAAUUUAAAUGCAGUUCUUAUGGAAUAUAUAUUGGAAUGGAUGAAUCAACCAUGUAUCAAGCGAAUGUAAUAAACCAUGUAUGAUGUGUUAUAAAAUGUACCCUCCCAUCUAUAUAUAAAGUUUAGAUAUUUACAUA